UUGGAGGGCAAGUUCUGGUGCCAGCAGCCGCGGUAAUUCCAGCUCCAAUAGCGUAUAUUAAAGUUGUUGCAGUUAAAAAGCUCGUAGUUGAAUUUCGGGAUCAAUAUAUUGGUCGUGCCUCCGGUAUGCACUGGUAUUAUUGAUUUCUACCUUCUGACGAACUGUGAUGUCAUUAAUUUGGUGUCAUGGGGAAUCAGGACUGUUACUUUGAAAAAAUUAGAGUGUUUAAAGCAGGCACACGCUUGAAUACAUUAGCAUGGAAUAAUGAAAUAGGACGUUUGACCCUAUUUUGUUGGUUUCUAGGAUCGACGUAAUGAUUAAUAGGGGUAGUUGGGGGCAUUAGUAUUCAAUUGUCAGAGGUGAAAUUCUUGGAUUUAUUGAAGACUAACUACUGCGAAAGCAUUUGCCAAGGAUGUUUUCAUUAAUCAAGAACGAAAGUUAGGGGAUCGAAGACGAUCAGAUACCGUCGUAGUCUUAACCAUAAACUAUGCCGACUAGGGAUCGGAUGAUGUUAAUUUUAUAAUGACUCAUUCGGCGCCUUACGGGAAAC
rnacentral:rRNA from 1 species